rnacentral:tRNA from 1 species
GGCAAAAUAUACAUAGGUCUUCUAAACCUUUUUUGGAUUAAUUAUCCUUUUGCUU